rnacentral:rRNA from 1 species
CCUACGGGUGGCAGCAGUGAGGAAUAUUGGUCAAUGGGCGCAAGCCUGAACCAGCCAAGUCGCGUGAGGGAUGACGGUCCUAUGGAUUGUAAACCUCUUUUGUCGGGGAGCAAGGCCCGCCACGUGUGGCGGGAAGGAGAGUACCCGAAGAAAAAGCAUCGGCUAACUCCGUGCCAGCAGCCGCGUUAAUACUGAGACUUCGAGCGUUAUCCGGUGUUAUUGGGGUAUAAGGGGGCAGAGUGGGAAGGUUAAGGCAACGGUAAAAUGGCGGUGCUAAUCACCGGCCUGACGUUGAAACUGGUCUUGUUGAGUGAGCGAGAGGUAAGCGGAAUGCGUGGUGUAGCGGUGAAAUGCAUAGAUAUCACGCAGAACACCGAUGGCGAAGGCAGCAUACCGGCGCUCAACUGACGCUGAGGCACGAAAGCGUGGGGAUCGAACAGGAGUAGAUACCCCAGUAGUC